rnacentral:lncRNA from 1 species
AUGAGCAUUGGAUAAACAACCAACAUUUCACAGAUGAUAUAGCAAGGCAAGGUCAAGAAAACAUGCAUGUACACAAACCCUAGGCAAAAGUAUUUUCCAGCCAUGCACAAUUUGUCAAAAAAUGAUGAUAAAAUACUAGAAACAAUAAGGAACAUGAUGCAAAAUUCCUCAUAUUUUUUGGAUCAUUAUUUAAUGAUUUAUGAAUUUUUGAAGUGAAAGAAA